GACGAAUGCUGGCGGCGUGCUUAACACAUGCAAGUCGAACGGAAAGGCCCUGCUUUUGUGGGGUGCUCGAGUGGCGAACGGGUGAGUAACACGUGAGUAACCUGCCCUUGACUUUGGGAUAACUUCAGGAAACUGGGGCUAAUACCGGAUAGGAGCUCCUGCUGCAUGGUGGGGGUUGGAAAGUUUCGGCGGUUGGGGAUGGACUCGCGGCUUAUCAGCUUGUUGGUGGGGUAGUGGCUUACCAAGGCUUUGACGGGUAGCCGGCCUGAGAGGGUGACCGGCCACAUUGGGACUGAGAUACGGCCCAGACUCCUACGGGAGGCAGCAGUGGGGAAUAUUGCACAAUGGGCGGAAGCCUGAUGCAGCAACGCCGCGUGCGGGAUGAUGGCCUUCGGGUUGUAAACCGCUUUCGCCUGUGACGAAGCGUGAGUGACGGUAAUGGGUAAAGAAGCACCGGCUAACUACGUG
rnacentral:rRNA from 1 species